UACAGCAUCGCUCGGUUUUUAAACUCUUCCCGAUUUUCCUCCCAUUCCUUUUCUCUGUGCAGUUUCAGUACCUUUUAAGGACUUUGGAAUGGCCGAGGUGGAAUAACGCAUUGACGUUGGAAAGGAAAAUGUGAGGACAAUCAUACUAUAGUCUUAACAAAUGUGUUUGUCUCAGGCUUUUGCUCGAGAGAAAUGUGAUUUUAUUCCUUACCUUCUGGACCGCCCGUAAUUUUUGCAUUCUUCCAUUUCCCGUUUGUUUUAAAAGGAAGUUGGUCAGUGUAUUAUGGGACAACGACCCCACACACACGUAAGUUCAUGAACAGGAUACAUCCAGACGGUAUUCAGCGAUGAAAGGUUAACUCAAAAGGAAGGUGACUUCAUGCAUGGGCCUAUUAUUAUGUUAUAGAUACGACAUUGGCUGCUAGAAAUAUUUUCCCUACUCCAUUUCUGUAGACGUUUUAGGGCGGACAAUGUGUUACAAAGUACAAAGCAGCGCUGUUCUAACGAGAACAAUUGAGAUUAUAGUCUUUUCCCCCUCUUUUUAAAAACUUUAUUGUGAGGAAAGUAGCCUUUCAUUAUUUCAAGAAUUGCUUUUUAACUUUUAGCCCAGAGCCUACCCGUGGUGUUUUACAUGCUGUUUUUUUGGGCUGUUUUGAGGUUGUGAAAGUGUAAAUUGUGACUCUGGAUUUCGGACCGUAAGCUGGUAAGGACACUUCUACCGUCAUUGGGCAUUAUUUAUCUUUAAUAUCACGUUGACAGCAGUGUCAAAAUUAAUGUUAUUGUCAGUUUGUCCAACUUGUCGAAUCGCUUUAUGAUUUCCGAGUCUUUCGCGCAUGAUGUCAUGGCUACCCCAAAGUGGCCCCGCAGAGAAAGUAAGUUCUGAAUGGAGACCUAAACUAGACCUUUACUUGUGAGAAGUGGCCCUGUUCCGCUGUCAACGAAAGCUUGGUCUCAGAGGCAAUUAUUCAUGUCCAAAUUCCCAGUGAUCGCAAACAUACUUGAAAUAGAAUAAUACUCGCUGUGAUAAAUCUAGAAUUUCCUUCAUUUUCUGUUUCACAGGAACAGAAACGUUCCUGAUGGAGAUCUGAAACAAAAAGAUUUCUGAAUAUCUUCAACUUAGGGUGAUUUUGCGAGUCGUUUUAUUGGGGACACACGACCGACUUUAUGCCAGCUGGUGUCAUGUGUUGCAAUCGAGAUUCGACUGUUGUAAUAUUUUGCAACUGAUAAAUGUUGAGAAGGAUUUCAGUUUCAUGACUUCUUCUGAUGAAUACAGUCUUUUUGUGAUGGUGUAUUCUGAUUAAUACAAUGUUCUGGUUUUCUGAGGUGUCCAAAUCAAGACAGACUUUUGGGUUUUUGUGAUGGCGUGUUUUGAUUAAGACAGUCUUCUCGUUUUGUGAUGUGUUGUAACCAAGACACUCCAAGCCUUUGGGUCUUCAGCAGUUUGAGAAUUCUAAACCUACAUCAUUCCCACAGAGAGACAUUUCAUGGGCGACAACUGUGGUCUUUGCACACACUCCACUACUCGGAAAUAACAACGAGGAAGCGCCAGCGACAACCUUACGUACGAAGAAAGGCUUGCAGGGGGAUACGCUGUGAAUCAGGAAAUUUAUUUGCACGUGGGACGUUGAGAUGCAGAAACAUAUUCAUGUCAGGAGCAUUUAGCGUUUUUCAUUUUUUAAGUCGUUUCACGUACAUUUACGGUUACAUCGAGAAGUGUGUUGUCGUUAUAUAUCGAGGCUUCAGCGACUCCUAACGCGCUCUUUUCUGGCUUGUCUUUUUGUUCUAAGGAUUUCGGAAAAGGAUUACAAUAAAUGUAGGUGGUUUUUAAAACGUAUGUGUUUGCAUUGAGGAGAUUUUCUGGAACAAUCAACUUGCAAGAUGAAAACACAUUGGCCAGUGAUUCUUAGCGUACUGUCUUCAGUGACGUUUACAAUAGUUGCAACGCAGAAUGCAUCGUUCUCUCAAGGCUGUCCAUCCCAUUGGUACAAAUAUGCAGGUAGCUGCUUCUUGUUUGAGGGAGAUCGACCACAAACGUAUGAAAAUGCCCGUCUGCAUUGUGCGGUAAGGAAUUUGUCUUGUACUUUAAAAUAUUCUUAUCUAAGAUUACAAAAUGAAAUUCCUAUCUAGAGGACUUCUACAGACUUCAACAUAAGUUAAGGACCACUUGCAAACACUCUGAGUGGUCUUCU